rnacentral:tRNA from 1 species
AGAACUAUAGUUUAAUGGUAAAACAUCACUUUAACAUAGUGAAGACUAACGGUUCAAUUCCGUUUGGUUCUU